ACAAUCUACCCACCUCCAAACAAUCUCCAAAGUUCUGGGAUUACAGGUGUGAGCCACCUUACCCAGAGAGGCGAACCUGGAUUGGGAAAGUCGACAUUAAUCAACUCAUUAUUCCUCACAGAUUUGUAUUCUCCAGAGUAUCCAGGUCCUUCUCAUAGAAUUAAAAAGACUAUACACGUGGACAAUCCAAAGUUUUAAUCAAAGAAGGUGGUGUUCAGUUGCUGCUCACAAUAGUUGACACCCCAGGAUUUGGAGAUGUAGUGGAUAAUAGUAAUUGCUGGCAGCCUGUUAUCGACUACAUUGAUAGUAAAUCUGACUACCACCUAAAUGCAGAAUCACGAGUGAACCGACGUCAGAUGCCUGAUAGCAGGGUGCAGUGUUGUUUAUACUUCAUUGCUCCUCUAGGACAUGGACUUAAACCAUUGGAUAUUGAGUUUAAGAAGCGUUCGCAUGAAAAAGUGAUUAUCAUCCCACUUACUGCCAAAGCAGACACAAUUACACCAGAGGAAUGCCAACAGUUUAAAAAACAGAUGAUGAAAGAAAUCCAAGAACAUAAAAUUAAAAUACAUGAAUUUCCAGAAAUAGAUGAUGAAGAAGAAAAUAAACUUGCUAAAAAGGUAAAGGACCGUUUACCUCUUGCUGUGGUAGGUAGUAAUACUAUCAUUGAAGUUAAUGACAAAAGGGUCAGAGGAAGGCAGUAUCCUUGGGGUGUUGCUGAAGUUGAAAAUGGUGAACAUUGUUAUUUUACAAUUCUAAGAAAUAUGCUGAUAAAAACACAUGCAGGACUUGAAAGAUGUUACUAAUAAUGUCCACUAAGAACUACAGAAGCAGAAAACUGGCAGCUGUGACUUAUAAUGGAGUUGAUAACAACAAGAAUAAAGGGCAGCUGACUAAGAGCCCUCUGGCACAAAUGGAAGAAGAAAGAAGGGAGUAUGCAGCUAAAAUGAAGAAGAUAGAGAUGGAGAUGGAGCAGGUGUUUGAGAUGAAGGUCAAAUAAAAAGUUCAAAAGCUAAAGGACUCUGAAGCUGAGCUCCAGUGGCGCCAUGAGCUAAUGAAAAAGAAUUUGGAAGCACAGCACAAAGAAUUAGAGGGAAAACGUCGUCAGUUUGAGGAUGAGAAAGCAAACUGGGAAGCUCAACAAUGUAUUUUAGAACAGAACUCUUCGAGAACCUUGGAAAAGAACAAGAAGAAAGGGAAGAUCUUUUAAACUCUCUACUGACCACCAGUUACGUAUUAGUUGCCAAUAUGCCAGCUUGGACAUCAGUGUUUGUCGGAUCCGUUUGACCAAU